GAUGAACGCUGGCGGCGUGCCUAAUACAUGCCAGUCGAGCGAACAGACGAGGAGCUUGCUCCUCUGACGUUGGCGGCGGACGGGUGAGUGACGCGUAGAUAACCAACCUAUUUUACUGGGAUAACUUCGGGAAACCGGAGCUAAUACCUCAUAAUAUAUUGAACCGCAGGGUUCAAGCGUUAAUGGCGGUUUUGCUGUCAGUUAUAGAUGGAGCCGAGUCGCAUUAUCUAGUUGGUAAGGUAACGGCUUACCAAGGCAACGAUGCGUAGCCGACCUGAGAGGGUGAUCGGCCACACUGGAACUGAGACACGGUCCAGACUCCUACGGGAGGCAGCAGUAGGGAAUCUUCCGCAAUGGGCGCAGGCCUGACCCAGCAACGCCGCGUGAGUGAUGAAGGUCUUCGGAUCGUAAAACUCUGUUAUUAGGGAAGAACAAAAGUGUAAGUAACUAUGAACGUCUUGACGGUACCUAAUGAGAAAGCAACGGCUAACUACGUG
rnacentral:rRNA from 1 species